rnacentral:rRNA from 1 species
UACGUAGGCUCCAAGCGUUGUCCGGAUUUACUGGGUGUAAAGGGUGCGCAGGCGGUCUUGUAAGUCAGGGGUGAAAUCUCACAGCUCAACUGUGAAACUGCCUUUGAUACUGCAAGUCUUGGAUCCAGAAGAGUGUUGUGGAAUUCCGAGUGUAGCAGUGAAAUGUGUAGAUAUUCGGAAGAACACCAGUGGCGAAGGCAGCAACUUGGUCUGGUAUCGACGCUCAGGCACGAAAGCAUGGGGAUCAAACAGG